UACAGAGGGUGCAAGCGUUGUUCGGAAUUAUUGGGCGUAAAGCGCGUGUAGGCGGCUUUGCAAGUCGGGUGUGAAAGCCCUCAGCUCAACUGAGGAAGUGCGCCCGAAACUGCAGAGCUUGAGUGCCGGAGAGGGUGGCGGAAUUCCCCAAGUAGAGGUGAAAUUCGUAGAUAUUGGGAGGAACACCGGUGGCGAAGGCGGCGACCUGGGUGGAUACUGACGCUGAGGUGCGAAAGCGUGGGGAGCAAACAGG
rnacentral:rRNA from 1 species